UACGGAGGGUGCAAGCGUUAUCCGGAUUCACUGGGUUUAAAGGGUGCGUAGGUGGGUUGGUAAGUCGGUCGUGAAAUCCUUCGGCUCAACCGAAGAACGUCGGCCGAUACUGCCGUUCUUGAGGGAUGCAGAGGAGAUUGGAAUUCCCGGUGUAGCGGUGAAAUGUGUAGAGAUCGGGAGGAACACCGGUGGCGAAGGCGGGUCUCUGGGCAUCUCCUGACGCUGAGGCGCGAAAGCGUGGGGAGCAAACGGG
rnacentral:rRNA from 1 species